AUCUCUGAGUCCCCAAGCAACAAAGAGCUAGAACUGAUACAAUGACUGCUUGUUUAAGGAAGAACAUCUUUGAAACCAAAAAUAUAUCUAAUUAAAGAUUGCAAGGUAUGCUCAUCACAGGAUUCUUCUACCAAGCAAAAAUCAUCACUAGUAUAGCAUUUGAUAUAUCAUUAAUUAAAUAAAGAAGCAUAAGUAACUUGAAAAUUCA
rnacentral:misc_RNA from 1 species